GAGCGACCUCUCGCGGCCUGACGACCCGGCGUAAUCGCCGCCUGCCCGCCUUCUCAUCUUCCCCGCCGCCUCCUCUCCUCCAUGCCGUCGCCUGUCCACCCUGUGAGCCCCUCCGUGUCGCUGGCUCGGGGCAGGCAGGCGGCGGCUUUUGACGCGCUUGCGAGCACAGACGCGCUCUGGGUCCGCUCCAGUGCUCCCGCUAGGCGGCGCGCGGCCUCCUUUGAUGCGGGGCAAGACCCGCUGCGAGAUGAGGUGCGGCCCCAUCGCCGCGCGCGGCGCUAUGGUGCCUGGGCACGCUGCGCCCAUGGUCUUCUCGCAACGCGCGCGCGUCCGCGGACAUUAGCCGUACCUGCGGUGGUGUUAGGAUCUCCAGAGUCCAUACGUUCGUCGCCGUCGGACUCCUGAUGAGAAGAGAGAUUUGGGAUUGGGUUUGAUUAGGCAACGGCGAACACCAUCAAAGGGAAACUUGACGGGCUCGCCGAGCAUGCUAAGCUGGAGUGCAGGGUGGAAAUUCAGUUAGCAUUUCGUCUCAUGAGGGCAAAAGGAGUAGCAGUACCACAUGACCAAAACAUAGGCACACCAUAGAGGCAGAACCACUCCUGCAGCACAUGCCUACAGGCUCCCACGCCAGGUGCUUGGUCCCAGGGUUCCUCUGUGCAACUCAAAGCUAGGUUGCUACGAAGUACCAAUGAUGAUUCACUAACCCAGCCCAAACUUUAAAUGUGAACAGUGUAUGACAUCAUAAUUUAAUUCCUCAAUGCUACUUGGUGGUACUUCUUUCUUUUUAUAAUUGCUGCUAGGAUUGAAAAGAAAUGUUUAUGUUGGAUUGUGCUGUUCAAUUAACCUGGAAAAUGAGUUUAAACAUUCUUUUCAGAUC